CGUCUGCUCGCGAGAAGAAAUUUUAUUAUUUUAUCUGAAUUCUGUGUCUCUGUGUAUUUCUUUCCAAGAUUUCCAUAACAUUUGGUGCGUUGGCUGGGAAUCAGGAAUGAAAUAGCUCUUUUGGACAUCAUCCCGAACCCCACCGGAGGGAGUGGCUCUCUGUCUCCUGGAGAGGAAAGGCGCACCCCUGGGACUAAUUUCCUAGGCUCCCCGACAGGACACAGGGAUCUGCUCACUGGGCAGAGGAUCACGUGAACCCAGGGGACUACAGAAGGAGGACUGCUGUUCUUGGUGUCUUGUCUGUCUCUUUCCUUUGCUGGGUGAGAAACCCUGGGAAACCCCCUAGUCAUUAACUUUCAGUUUCGCCUUGUGAAUUUGUAUUCUGUAACUUUGGGCAAAUACAGCACAGGGGCCUGAUCACCCCUUGUGGUUUGCCAUUUGGGGAGGUAGCUUCUUUCAUUUGUUUUGGUUAUGGUUAGGGGAUCACCGGGAGGGAAUGUGUUCUGAAUAAAUGUGUGAGUGAAAGAGUUCUGGAUAGGAGUGUGUGAAAUGAGCUGCAGAACAAGACAGAGGGAGGAAGCACUUACACUUGAAGAGUCCUCCCUGAGUCACAGAAUUUGUGUGUGGUCUCGUUUAACAAAGGCACAAUGGUGAGCUUAGGCAACAGCUCACCAUAGCCUGAAUGGACCUUAAAAUGGCCAAGAAGCCCACAGCCAGGCAACCCAUCUUUGCGUUUGAAUGGGAAGACCACAGUGAUGGGAAAAAUACUCAGUUUACUUGGACCAGAUUGCCACAGGGAUUUAAAACUUACCCACACUUUUUGGAGAAGCCCUAGCCAAGGACUUGCUUGCCUUCCCUGUGGAACUAUAUAGCUGUGUCCCUACUGCAGUAUGUGGCUGACUGACUGUUAUGCAGCUCAACCCAAGAAUGGUGCUGGGAAGGCACCAAUAAGUUGUUGCUGCACUUACAAGAAAACUGGAUAGAAGAGACAGGCCAUCCCGAUCGUGACUGCUUGAAUGUCACUGAGGAGCUCUUUUCCAGUCUCCUUGACUUGCAAAUGACAUCUUUGUCUGAUGCUGACCUUGUUCUGUUCAUGGAUGGGAGCAGCUUCAUGGAAGAUGGGGUUCAUCAUGCUGCAUAUGCAGUAACCAUGAAGGAUGAGGUAGUCCUAGCCAGGGCCUUCAGUGCAAUGUGCUAAGCUUUGGGCACUCAUACAGGCACUCUGAUGGGCAAAGGGUAAA